CCCCUUCAUGCAUUUAUGAAAUUACAAUGUUGCAAGGACAAUAUCAAUUCUGGUUAGCGUUUAUUAAAGGGUUGCGGUUAGGGUUAGGGUCAGGGUCAGGGUCCGUUGAUUGGCGGUCAGAGGCGGUUUCUCACAGUUUAAGUACAGUUUUUUGUUUUACGGCGGUUUUUCCCAAAGUCGCAAAAGUAUGACGUCACAACAUUCUGAUUGGUCACUUGCAAUGUUGAUCCUGGAACAACAUUUAGUAUGAUGAUCUGGGAACAACACCAACAUGACGAUAUCAGAUCGUGCACGUGCAGUGACUCCCAAGCUCAGCUGGUGGCUCCAGCGGAUCCCAGUAAAAACCUCUGUCCAGAAGAGUGCAGUCCUAGGAACAGCUAACAUACUGCACAGGACCCUCAAGCUCCCAGGCUUGUGGAAGAGGACCCAAGCUUGAAGGACAGACCACCCACAGGGGCAAGCAGGGAAUGAAAACUAUAUAUCUUAGAGAGGGAAAAGUUUGUGUGUUUGUCAGCUGUUUGUGUGGAGUUUUUCUUAUUCACCUGUUCACCUCAAAUCAAGUCUUAUUUCUCUUUAGUUCUGAUCUCACUGCUGAGCUGCACAACAAACCAAGCUCGUCUGACUGUGAGUCCCAGCAGCUCUCAGUUCUUUGAAGGAAACUUUGUGUCUCUGAGCUGUGAGGAGGACGACAGCUCUGUUGGAUGGACUCUGAGGAGAAACACAAGCACACGACAGAGGGAUCAGUGUGGAGAUGUGGAGGGAAGGUUGCCUAGUUCUUCCUGUAAUAUCAAUGUUUUUCCAUUGGACAGUGGAGUUUACUGGUGUGAGUCCAGAGAGGGUCCCAUCAGUAACAUGGUUAACCUGACAGUCACUGGUGGAUCAGUGAUCCUGCAGAGUCCUGUCCUCCCUGUGAUGGAGGGAGAUGACGUCAC